rnacentral:rRNA from 1 species
UGGGGAAUAUUGCACAAUGGGCGCAAGCCUGAUGCAGCCAUGCCGCGUGUAUGAAGAAGGCCUUCGGGUUGUAAAGUACUUUCAGCGAGGAGGAAGGCGGUAAGGUUAAUAACCUUAUCGAUUGACGUUACUCGCAGAAGAAGCACCGGCUAACUCCGUGCAGCAGCCGCGGUAAUACGGAGGGUGCAAGCGUUAAUCGGAAUUACUGGGCGUAAAGCGCACGCAGGCGGUCUGUCAAGUCGGAUGUGAAAUCCCCGGGCUCAACCUGGGAACUGCAUUCGAAACUGGCAGGCUAGAGUCUUGUAGAGGGGGGUAGAAUUCCAGGUGUAGCGGUGAAAUGCGUAGAGAUCUGGAGGAAUACCGGUGGCGAAGGCGGCCCCCUGGACAAAGACUGACGCUCAGGUGCGAAAGCGUGGGGAGCAAACA